rnacentral:snRNA from 1 species
CUGAUUCAGCAGCACAUGUUCUAGAAAUGGGAGGAUCCAGAGAAGAAGAGCAUGGCCCCUGCAAGAACAAGCAAAUUUGUAAAGUCUAAAAUAAGUUA